AUCCAGCUGACGAGUUUCGAAUAGGACGAAACGCGCGUCCUGGAU
rnacentral:hammerhead_ribozyme from 1 species